UGAGCAAUCUGCCCUUCUCAUCGGAAUAAGCGUUGGAAACGACGUCUAAUGCCGAAUACGACCUCCUUUCAUAUGAUCGGAGGUGGAAAGCUCCGGCGGAGAAGGAUGAGCUCGCGGCCUAUCAGCUAGUUGGUGUGGGUAACGCCCACCAAGGCGACGACGGGUAGCCGGCCUGAGAGGGUGACCGGCCACACUGGGACUGAGACACGGCCCAGACUCC
rnacentral:rRNA from 1 species